AUGGGAUUUAAAACUAAAAGAAAAAUAGCGAAUAAAAAAAUUGCAGACGAAAGGGAAUCGCAAAAGAAAAUUGCAAGAGUUGCAGAAACUAGAGACCUCAUCGAUUGCGAGAAUGCGGUUUGUGAAAGUGCAGAAGAAUACAAUACCUCUACCGAGGACUAUACUUUUGUUGGCACAGAAUCGUUUGAGAACAUGCAUUCACUAUGUGAAACUGCAGAAGAAAGGUCAUUUGAGAACCAGCGUUCACUAUGUGAAACUGCAGAAGAAAGUUGGGAAUCCAAUAUUACUACUGACUCAGG